rnacentral:rRNA from 1 species
GACGAACGCUGGCGGCGUGCCUAAUACAUGCAAGUAGAACGCAGUUGCGAACGGGUGAGUAACGCGUAGGUAAAUGCCUCAUAGCGGGGGAUAACUAUUGGAAACGAUAGCUAAUACCGCAUACUGUGAGAUGGACCUGCGUUGUAUUAGCUAGUUGGUGAGGUAAAGGCUCACCAAGGAGACGAUACAUAGCCGACCUGAGAGGUUGGACAGCCACCAGUGGAACGGGACACGGCCCCGACUCCUACGGGGGGGAACAGUUGGGGAUCUUCGGACAUGGACGGAAGUCUUACCGCGCAACGCCGCGGGAGUGAAGAAGGUUUUCGGGUUGUAAAGCUCUGUUGUUAGAGAAGCGUUAACUAACCAGAAAGGGACGGCUAACUACGUGCCAGCAGCCGCGGUAAUUC